rnacentral:rRNA from 1 species
UACGAAGGGGGCUAGCGUUGCUCGGAAUCACUGGGCGUAAAGCGCACGUAGGCGGAUCUUUAAGUCAGGGGUGAAAUCCUGGAGCUCAACUCCAGAACUGCCUUUGAUACUGGCGAUCUCGAGUCCGGGAGAGGUGAGUGGAACUGCGAGUGUAGAGGUGAAAUUCGUAGAUAUUCGCAAGAACACCAGUGGCGAAGGCGGCUCACUGGCCCGGAACUGACGCUGAGGUGCGAAAGCGUGGGGAGCAAACAGG